CUGUAUAAUGAAAUUUCAGGAUCUGCGGAGUCAGGGAAUCCGGUAUAUGCCGGGGCAGCCCCUGCUGCUGUAAUCGGGACGAAACCGCAUUAUGUCAUUGCCGCAAGGUGAGAAGACGCGGAAAACGGCGGAACCAUUGACUAUGAGUUCAAGCCGUUUAUGCGAAAGCGGACAUCAACGCCUUCGUAAAGUAGGAUGAACGAAAGCCAGAAGACCUACCGGGGAUUCGGAGUUAGC
rnacentral:ncRNA from 2 species